rnacentral:tRNA from 1 species
AAUGGCUGAAUAAGUGAAAAACUGUAAAUUUUUUUAUGAACGAAUGUUCUUAUAUCAGGUAU